GACGAAGUCUGACGCAGCACGCCGCGUGCAGGAAGAAGGCCUUCGGGUUGUAAACUGCUUUUAUGAGGGACGACUUCGACGGUACCUCAAGAAUAAGGAUCGGCUAACUCCGUGCCAGCAGCCGCGGUCAUACGGAGGAUCCGAGCGUUAUCCGGAAUUACUGGGCGUAAAGAGUUGCGUAGGCGGAUGGCCAAGCAAAGUAUAAAAACUCACGGCUCAACCGUGAAUCUAUAUUUUGAACUGGUCAACUAGGGCGUAGGAGAGGUAGCUGGAAUUGCUGGUGUAGGAGUGAAAUCCGUAGAUAUCAGCAGGAACACCGAUGGCGUAAGCAGGCUACUAGCCUAUUGCCGACGCUAAGGCACGAAAGCGUGGGGAGCGAACGGGAUUAGAUACCCCGGUAGUCCACGCCGUAAACGAUGGAUGCUAGCAGUGCACCGUAUCGAUCCGGUGCGUUGCGAAGCUAACGCGUUAAGCAUCCCGCCUGGGGAGUACGGUCGCAAGAUUAAAACUCAAAGGAAUAGACGGGGACCCGCACAAGCGGUGGAGCGUGUUGUUUAAUACAAUAAUAAGCGUAGAACCUUACCAGGGCUUGACUCCUCGGGAAGACUCUCGAAAGAAAGUUGUGCCUUUUAGGAAUCCGAUGACAGGUGUUGCAUGGCCGUCGUCAGCUCGUGUCGUGAGAUGUUUGGUUAAGUCCAUUAACGAGCGCAACCCUUGUAGUUAGUUGAAUUUUUCUAGCUAGACCGCCUCGGUAACGGGGAGGAAGGAGGGGAUGAUGUCAGGUCGGUAUUACCCUUACGCCCUGGGGCGACAAACACGCUACAAUGGCCGGUACAAAGGGCAGCUAAGUCGCGAGACGGGAGCAAACCCCAUCAAAACCGGUCUCAGUUCGGAUUGCAG
rnacentral:rRNA from 1 species